GAGGUCUAAUACCGGAUAUGACACUUGAAGGCAUCUUCGAGUGUGGAAAGUUCCGGCGGUAUGGGAUGGACCCGCGGCCUAUCAGCUUGUUGGUGGGGUAAUGGCCUACCAAGGCGACGACGGGUAGCCGGCCUGAGAGGGUGAUCGGCCACACUGGGACUGAGACACGGCCCAGACUCCUACGGGAGGCAGCAGUGGGGAAUAUUGCACAAUGGGCGAAAGCCUGAUGCAGCGACGCCGCGUGAGGGAUGACGGCCUUCGGGUUGUAAACCUCUUUCAGCAGGGACGAAGCGCAAGUGACGGUACCUGCAGAAGAAGCACCGGCUAACUACGUGCCAGCAGCCGCGGUAAUACGUAGGGUGCGAGCGUUGUCCGGAAUUAUUGGGCGUAAAGAGCUCGUAGGCGGUUUGUCGCGUCGGCCGUGAAAACUUGGGGCUUAACCCCAAGCCUGCGGUCGAUACGGGCAGACUUGAGUUCGGCAGGGGAGACUGGAAUUCCUGGUGUAGCGGUGAAAUGCGCAGAUAUCAGGAGGAACACCGGUGGC
rnacentral:rRNA from 1 species